rnacentral:tRNA from 1 species
GGCUGUGUGGCUCAGUAUGGUCUAGAGCGCCUCCCUGUCACGGAGGAGAACGAGGGUUCAAAUCCCUUCACGGUCGC